rnacentral:rRNA from 1 species
UACGUAGGUGGCAAGCGUUGUCCGGAUUUACUGGGCGUAAAGGGCGUGCAGGCGGUUUGUUAAGUCUAGGGUGAAAGCUCCCGGCUUAACUGGGAGAGGUCCUUGGAUACUGGCGAACUUGAGGGAUGCAGAGGAAAGUGGAAUUCCCGGUGUAGUGGUGAUAUGCGUAGAUAUCGGGAGGAACACCAGUGGCGAAGGCGGCUUUCUGGGCAUUUCCUGACGCUGAGACGCGAAAGCGUGGGGAGCGAACCGG